rnacentral:pre_miRNA from 1 species
CAAAUACUCCCUCCGUCCGGAAAUACUUGUCAUCGAAAUGGAUAAAAGGAAAUGUAUCUAGACGUAUUUUAGUUUUAGAUACAUCUCUUUUUAUCCAUUUUGAUGACAAGUAUUUUCGGACGGAGAGAGUAGAAA